rnacentral:misc_RNA from 1 species
GCGAACAACAGACGUUUAGCCAUGACACAAACCCAGCAUACAACGCGCAGUUGCAGCAGCAGCAGCAGCGAUUUACAGCAUGCGCAGCAGCGACGUCGACGCCAAAUCCAGCCAAAGCAAUUUUCGGCACUGCUGCUGUUGCUGCUGUUCAGCUGCGGCGCAGCCGUUACGACUGCCGCCGCGACUGCGCAGUCGCGCAACUAUGCGCGGCCACAGCGUGCCAUAGACGACGCUGCCGCCGAAGUCGAGGCAGCGGAGGCGACAACCUGCUGCCAGGGCGCAGCAGCCGCAUCUGUUCAGCCUGUCACGCUCGCGCUGGAGUUGGGCAAAGUGACGGCAGACUUUGGUGAAGCAGAUGGCUCCGGCGAAUUCUCUAAGGAGAACUUCAAGCGCAGCGUGUCACCAGCUGCUGUGCGCAAUGCAACGCCCGCGAGCUGCUCGCCACAGCCCACCAUUGUGGAGCUGAAGCCACUGACGGAGCAGGCCGGCGAGCAGACGGCAUCGAAUGUCUACUAUACGCCGGCGUGCACGCGCAUCAAUCGAUGCAAUGGCUGCUGCGGCUCCACGCUGAUCGCAUGCCAGCCGACGCAGACGGAGACGCUGCGGCUGCGCGUCCGGAAGGUGGAGCGUUUUGGGGCCAGCAGCAAGCGUGAAUCUGCCAUUGUCAGUGUGGAGCAGCAUUUGGCCUGUAAAUGCGAUUGCCGCAUCAAGGCCGAGGACUGCAAUGCGUAUCAGGAGUAUCGCAAGGAUCUGUGCCGCUGCGAGUGCCAGAACACGGAUGCCCGCGACAAGUGCCUGGAGCAAUCGGAUCACAAAUACUGGGACGAUGCCAACUGCACCUGCGCCUGUCGCUACAAUCAAUCCUGCACCACCGGCACCGUCUUCGAUGAGACGCAAUGCAAAUGCACCGAUAUCAAAAGUCUCGAGUAUUAUUCCUAGAAUACACACAUUCUAUAACACACUGAAAACACAUAGAUCCUAUGCUCGUUGUUGUUGUUUGUUUGUUUGUUUCAAAUACGUGAUAAACAAAAAGAAAGGCAGCUUUAUUUGCAGAAGAAAUUCAAAAAUCAUACAUCACAGUCACAUGACCAUUAUCAAUCAAUCAAUCAAUCAAUCAAUACAGCAACAAACAGCACUUGAGAGAAAGAACAGAAUUGAUAAACAAAAAAAGAGAAGAAAUUUAAUUUUGAAAAAAAAAAAACAUUUUGCUUGAACCAAUUUGUGAUACGUUUGCAUUCGAAAAUUGAUUUAUGUAUAUGAAUAUUUGUUAAAUUAAAAAAUGUUAAAUGAUUAGGAAUUCGUUUAGAGAAUGUUUAAGGCAAAUGUAACUUAUAGCUGAGUUGAGGCCAAAACACACACAACGUUAUUUGUGUUGCAUUGUCCAUCGGCGCCCAGCGAUGUGGCGGACCGCAGACGCUUCAUAGUACAGGCCGUCGCCGUGGAGCCGGACAACAGCACCCUCUACAGCGUCU